UUACGACCAUAUCAGGUUGAAACACCAGUUCCCGUACGAUCAUCGAAGUUAAGCAAAGUCAAGCCUGGUCACUACCUAGAUGAGUGCCUGCUUGGAAAUACCAGGUGCUGUAA